AGUCUUGCCGCAGUCACCAGUUUUGGAGGAAUGGGAGAGGAGCUUUCCACUCCUCUGAGAGUCAUGUCGAGAGUCUGUCUUAGCCCUCGACCCCUCAGUCUUUGUAGAUCUCAUCCCAGAACCCCGAGGGAGAGCACUCAGGACCGGUUCUGGUUUCCUGGUGUGGCCUGGGCCUCCAUCUGGUUUGGAGGCUAUUUUGAUCCACCGGAUGCAGAUUAGCUGCUGCGAUCUGGGGCUGAGCUGCUGGAGAGAUGCCUUUAUCUACAGAAGGACAAUUUGAAAACUAACUCAAAGCAUCGAGAACAAAUAAAUAAAUUCCUCUUUCCGUUCCCAGCACUCUCCAUCCUAUUUCUACAGGAGAAGUUCUGGUCUCUCCUCGGUGCUGCGGCUGCCCCGGGAAGAGUUUCCAGGAGCUGACAAGCAUUCAGAUGAGUAAAGAUGGGAUCGGAUUGAGAAAAGGAGAAGGGAGAGCAUAUUCGUUCUCUUUCCACCUCCCUCCCACAGCCUUUCAUGCUGAUCUCAUCUGACGAAGCUGCCUCCUCCUCCCUGGACUCUACAAGCCCCUGUCAUGAUGUUUCUCAGAUCCUGAAUUCCAGCGAAACAGAUGAUACUAACAAGUUUGAAGACCCCCACAGAGGAAUGGAAUCAGUAUGAGAACACAGUUUCUUCAUCUCCCUGUCCCAGAACUUCACCCUGGACUCCUCGACCAAUCAACAAUCUCCACACUUCGGCCCACUCCAAAACUCCUAAAAUCCCAAGCUCCAAACUCCUCUGGGAGAUGGAUUUGAGGCUUCCUCCCGUUUCCUUGUGUGGAAGCCCUGUCAUUAAACCUCUUUCUCUGCUGC
rnacentral:lncRNA from 1 species